UUCUAAGACUAUGGAGCGUCCCGAAAACCCCCUGCAUCAAUCACGGAUAGUGUUUGAUCUCUGAAACCUCAACCUCUGGUGAAUAUAAAGAGCUCUCUUACCUCCACUUGAUUUCCAGGUACCCUUUGGAUUCUCAUGGCACGCCUACCCAUUAGGCCCUCUCUGUACUGAUGAUGGCAUACGUUAAUUUGCAUAUGGAAUUCAAUCAAGUGACCAAGCCAGAGCAUGACACAUCUUUUGGAAAUUAUGCCUCGAUGCAUGAAGUGGCCAUCACUUUGUUCAGCCUCAGGAGUGGGAGAGAAAAACCAGUAAACAAGUAGAUACCUCAACGAUGCUCCGUGCUGUGCUGGAAAACCAAGCAGUGGCUUUCAGACUUUACGAUGCAUCAGAAUCACCUGGAGAACUUCUUAAAAUAGACUGCUGGGCCCUCCUCACAGAGCUUCUGAUUGGUAGAUGUGAGUAGGAGCCAAAAGCCUGCAUUUCCAACACGGCCCUACAUGAUGCUACGCUGCUGGACUGAGACUGCACUUUGAAAACCAAGGAACCAACAGACACAUUAAGACUUAAAAGAGAGGCCAGGCGUGGUGGCUCACACAUGUAAUCCCAGAACUUUGGGAGGUCAAGGUGGGCGGAUCACCUGAGGUCCA